UACGUAGGCAGCGAGCGUUGUUCGGAAUUACUGGGCGUAAAGAGUGUGUAGGCGGUGCUCUAAGUUCGGUGUGAAAUCUCCUGGCUCAACUGGGAGGGUGCGCCGGAAACUGGAGUGCUUGAGCGUGGGAGAGGAUAGUGGAAUUCCCAGUGUAGUGGUGAAAUACGUAGAGAUUGGGAAGAACACCAGUGGCGAAGGCGGCUAUCUGGACGGUUUCUGACGCUAAGACGCGAAAGCGUGGGGAGCAAACAGG
rnacentral:rRNA from 1 species